UACGUAGGGGGCGAGCGUUGUCCGGAAUCAUUGGGCGUAAAGCGCGUGUAGGCGGCUCGGUAAGUCCGGUGUGAAACCUUGGGGCUCAACCCCAAGCCUGCACUGGAUACUGUCGAGCUUGAGUCCGGGAGGGGAGAGCGGAAUUCCUAGUGUAGCGGUGAAAUGCGCAGAUAUCAGGAGGAACACCGGUGGCGAAGGCGACAUCCUGGACCGGUAUUGACGCUGAGGCGCGAAAGCCAGGGGAGCAAACGGG
rnacentral:rRNA from 1 species